rnacentral:rRNA from 1 species
GAUGAACGCUGGCGGCGUGCCUAAUACAUGCAAGUCGAGCGAAGCGGGGGCGGGUGAGUAACACGUAGAUAACCUCCGAUAAGAACGGGACAACUUCGGGAAACCGGAGCUAAAACGGCUACUUAUAGAUGGUUCCGCGGUGCAUUCGCUAGUUGGUAAGGUAACGGCUUACCAAGGCAACGAUGCAUAGCCGACCUGUGAGGGGGAUCGGCCACACUGGAACUGAGACACGGUCCAGACUCCUACGGGAGGCAGCAGUAGGGAAUCUUCCGCAAUGGGCGAAAGCCUGACGGAGCAACGCCGCGUGAGUGAUGAAGGUCUUCGGAUCGUAAAACUCUGUUGUUAGAGAAGCGGUAUCUAAUCAGAAAGCCACGGCUAACUACGUGCCAGCAGCCGCGGUAAUAC